rnacentral:rRNA from 1 species
GACGAACGUUGGCGGCGUGCUUAAUACAUGCAAGUCAACUGAAGCAGUGGUAGCAAUAUCGCUGUGGAGGUGGCGCACGGGUGAGUAACACGUAGGUAAUCUGCCUUCAGGUCUGGCAUAACUCCGGGAAACCGGGGCUAAUAGCAGAUGAUGCAGCGGCUCGACAUCGAGACAGUUGUUAAAGCUAUGGCGCCUGAAGAUGAGCCUGCGUCUGAUUAGCUAGUUGGCGGGGUAACGGCCCACCAAGGCAACGAUCAGUAGCUGGUCUGAGAGGAUGAUCAGCCACACUGGAGCUGAGACACGGUCCAGACUCCUACGGGAGGCAGCAGUAAGGAAUAUUGCUCAAUGGGAGAAAUCCUGAAGCAGCAACGCCGCGUGAGGGACGAAGGGCUUUUGCUUGUAAACCUCUGUAGUGAGAGAAAAAAAUCCCAAUCUUUGGGACAUGAUGGUAUCUCAAAAGUAAGCCCCGGCUAACUACGUG